GCCGGUUUCCCUAGAUGAUCUUCACCGGUUGUCCUGGGUGACCGGCACGUUUACUUUGAAAAAAUUAGAGUGCUCAAAGCAGGCGUGUAGCCUGAAUAAUGGUGCAUGGAAUAAUGGAAUAGGACUUCGUUUCUAUUUUGUUGGUUUUCGGAACACGAGGUAAUGAUUAAGAGGGACAGACGGGGGCAUUCGUAUUGCGACGCUAGAGGUGAAAUUCUUGGACCGUCGCAAGACGAACUACUGCGAAAGCAUUUGCCAAGAAUGUUUUCAUUGAUCAAGAACGAAAGUUAGAGGUUCGAAGGCGAUCAGAUACCGCCCUAGUUCUAACCAUAAACGAUGCCAACCAGCGAUCCGCCUGAGUUCCUCAAAUGACUCG
rnacentral:rRNA from 1 species